AAGCSGCAACAGCUCAAAUUUGAAAUCUGGCUUCGGCCCGWKUUGUWAUUUGUAGAGGAUGCUUUUGGUGCGGUGCCUUCUGAGUUCCCUGGAACGGGACGCCAGAGAGGGUGAGAGCCCCGUAUAGUUGGACACCAAGCCUUUGUAAAGCUCCUUCGACGAGUCGAGUAGUUUGGGAAUGCUGCUCUAAAUGGGAGGUAUAUCUCUUCUAAAGCUAAAUAUAGGCCAGAGACCGAUAGCGCACAAGUAGAGUGAUCGAAAGAUGAAAAGCACUUUGAAAAGAGGGUUAAAUAGUACGUGAAAUUGUUGAAAGGGAAGGGCUUGUGACCAGACUUGUGCCGGGCUGAUCAUCCACGGUUCUCCGUGGUGCACUCUGCCCGGCUCAGGCCAGCGUCGGUUCUGGCAGGGGGACAAAAGCUUAGGGAACGUGGCUCCUCCGGGAGUGUUAUARCCCUUWGCUCAAUACC
rnacentral:rRNA from 1 species